rnacentral:piRNA from 1 species
UGGAAAUAAAAGGUCACCUGUGUGUUUCC